ACGUAGGGAGCAAGCGUUGUCCGGAAUUACUGGGCGUAAAGGGCGUGUAGGCGGGAAUUUAAGUAAGGUGUGAAAACUCCGGGCUCAACUUGGAGACUGCACUUUAAACUGGAUUUCUUGAGGGCAGGAGAGGAAAGUGGAAUUCCUAGUGUAGCGGUGAAAUGCGUAGAUAUUAGGAGGAACACCAGUGGCGAAGGCGACUUUCUGGACUGUACCUGACGCUGAGGCGCGAAAGCGUGGGGAGCGAACAG
rnacentral:rRNA from 1 species